GCCAGACGCGGUAGCGCACCUGUAGUCCCAGCUACUUGGGAGGCUAAGACAGGAGGAUUGCUUGAGUCCAGGAGUUCUGGGCUGCACUGCACUAUGCCAAUCGGGUGUCUGCACUAAGUUCGGCAUCAAUAUAGUGACCUCCCUGGAGCAGGGGGCCACCAGGUUGCCUAUGGAGGGGUGAACUGGCCCAGGUCAAAAACGGAGCAGGUCAAAACUCCUGUGCUGAUCAGUAGUGGGAUCGCACCUGUGAAUAGCCACUGCACUCCAGCCUGGGCAACAUAGCAAGACCCUGUCUCUA
rfam:Otolemur garnettii contig156532, whole genome shotgun sequence.